ensembl:miRNA predicted gene, 22752
GGUGGCAGGGUCACAACAGGCACAGACUGGCGUGCCCCAGGCAUCUCUGGGCGAGUAUCUCUUUGAGCGCCUCACUCUCAAGCACGACUAGGAGGCCUCUGUGCCUUUC